GUGCCGAUUAGCUCAGUCAGUUGAGCGUGGCGCUAACAACGCCAAGGUCGUGGGUUCAGUUCCCAUUCAGUCCC
rfam:Apaloderma vittatum contig7373, whole genome shotgun sequence.